UACGAAGGGGGCUAGCGUUGCUCGGAAUCACUGGGCGUAAAGCGUGCGCAGGCGGCGCGUUAAGACAGGUGUGAAAGCCCCGAGCUUAACUUGGGAAUUGCGCUUGUGACUGGCGUGCUGGAGUGUGGCAGAGGGAGGUGGAAUUCCACGUGUAGCAGUGAAAUGCGUAGAGAUGUGGAGGAACACCGAUGGCGAAGGCAGCCUCCUGGGCCAGCACUGACGCUCAUGCACGAAAGCGUGGGGAGCAAACAGG
rnacentral:rRNA from 1 species